rnacentral:rRNA from 1 species
CAGCAGUCGCCGCGGGAAGACAGAGGAUGCAAGCGUUAUCCGGAAUGAUUGGGCGUAAAGCGUCUGUAGGUGGCUUCUCAAGUCCGCCGUCAAAUCCCAGGGCUCAACCCUGGACAGGCGGUGGAAACUACCAAGCUGGAGUACGGUAGGGGCAGAGGGAAUUUCCGGUGUAGCGGUGAAAUGCGUAGAGAUGUGGAGGAACACCAGUGGCGAAAGCGACUCUCUGGUCUGUAACUGACGCUGAGGAGCGAAAGCGUGGGGAGCGAACAGGAUUAGAUACCCCGGUAGUCCCUGUCUCUUAUAC